AGGAGAACUCUAUGGCUGCCAUUUCAUAUGUGCUCUUAGCUGGAAUUUACUAGCAAAAACUAAUCUGUGUUAAAAUUAAGUGUUAUUUUUGACUGGUCGGGUUUUUUUCUGCAUUUGUUACCCAGUUCAUUUUUCCUUGUUGCUGUACAAAUGCUUUUGUUUGGAUGUGAAAUGGGUUGGUGAAGGACAGGAAGAAGCAGCUGUCAAGCAGGACUACUUUUUGUGAGGGUAGUGCUGCCUUAAAUUGCAUGUUAAUUUACAGUCAUUUCUUACUGAUGUUGUUGUAACAGAGUCAACCACUGGAGCAGAGAAGAGGGCUAGACUCUUUUUCUUAAACUGCCAUCAUGCAGCCUCUCCUGUGUGACAGCAAAGAACAGCAAGGACAAGGGCUGUAUGCUGGGAAACUUUGGAGUGUAAGAUUCCCUUAGACACACUGGCCUCCAGGUGGGGAAAGAGGUUUUACAUAACAUGAAGUUGACUCACUCCCUCCAGCCUUCUAUAUGACAUCCUUCCUAGAGGCCACAGAAUAUUUUGGGAAUAGAAAUUUGACAUGAUGGACUCAAAGCUUCAGUCCCAGAUUUACAGCAACAUGGUGUGCUGUUGAUUUUUCACAAAGAAGUCACCAGAAACAUAGCUCCGAGAAGCUUUUGCUCUGAAAGAAAUGACGUGAUUGCAGUUCAGAAGCUAAGGAAGCUGCCAAAAAACAUAAGAUGUAAUGUGAGGAGGCCACAUGGCUUCCGGUAUAAAGAUUCACUAACUGUCAUUAUGACAAAGAAGUUAUCUUUUUGGACAGUAAGGGCUGCAAGGGCUUUGAGGCACUGAAGAUG
rnacentral:lncRNA from 1 species